rnacentral:rRNA from 1 species
CACGUAGGGGGCAAGCGUUGUCCGGAUUUAUUGGGCGUAAAGAGCUCGUAGGCGGUUCGGUAAGUCGGGUGUGAAACCUCCAGGCUCAACCUGGAGACGCCACCCGAUACUGCUGUGACUAGAGUCCGGUAGGGGAGCGUGGAAUUCCUGGUGUAGCGGUGAAAUGCGCAGAUAUCAGGAGGAACACCAGCGGCGAAGGCGGCGCUCUGGGCCGGAACUGACGCUGAGGAGCGAAAGCUAGGGGAGCGAACAGG